rnacentral:snRNA from 8 species
AUACUUACCUGGCAAGGGAGACACCGUGAUCAAGAAGGCGGUUCACCCAGGGCGAGGCUCAGCCAUUGCACUCCGGCUGUGCUGACCCCUGCGAAUUUCCCAAAUGUGGAAAUCUCGAUUGCAUAAUUUCUGGUAGUGGGGGACUGCGUUCACGCUCUCCCCUG